CCUACGGGAGGCAGCAGUGAGGAAUAUUGGUCAAUGGGCGAGAGCCUGAACCAGCCAAGUCGCGUGAGGGAGUACUGCCCUAUGGGUUGUAAACCUCUUUUGUCGGGGAGCAAAAGCCGGACGUGUCCGGCUGUGAUAGUACCCGAAGAAAAAGCAUCGGCUAACUCCGUGCCAGCAGACGCGGUAAUACGGAGGAUGCGAGCGUUAUCCGGAUUUUUUGGGUUUAAAGGGUGCGCAGGCGGAUUUUUAAGUCAGCGGGAAAAUCGUGGGGCUCAACCCCAUCCAGCCGUUGAAACUGGGGGAUUAGAGUGUGCGAAGGGUAUACGGAAUGCGUGGUGUAGCGGUGAAAUGCAUAGAUAUCACGCAGAACCCCGAUUGCGAAGGCAGCAUACCGGUGCAAAACUGACGCUCAGGCACGAAAGCGUGGGUAUCGAACAGGAUUAGAUACCCGGGUAGUC
rnacentral:rRNA from 1 species